rnacentral:rRNA from 1 species
AGGAUGAACGCUGGCGGUCUGCUUAACACAUGCAAGUCGAACGGAGUACCUCGGUACUUAGUGGCGGACGGGUGAGUAACGCGUGAGAAUCUGCCCUUAGGUCGGGGACAACCAUUGGAAACGAUGGCUAAAUACCGGAUAAGCCGAGAGGUAAAAGAUUAAUUGCCUAGGGAAGAGCUCGCGUCUGAUUAGCUAGUUGGUGAGGUAAAGGCUCACCAAGGCAUCGAUCAGUAGCUGGUCUGAGAGGAUGAUCAGCCACACUGGGACUGAGACACGGCCCAGACUCCUACGGGAGGCAGCAGUGGGGAAUUUUCCGCAAUGGGCGAAAGCCUGACGGAGCAAGACCGCGUGAGGGAGGAAGGCUCUUGGGUUGUAAACCUCUUUCUUGGGGAAGAACAAAUGACGGUACCAAGGAAUCAGCAUCGGCUAACUCCGCACCAGCAGCCGC